UACGUAGGGGGCAAGCGUUAUCCGGAUUUACUGGGUGUAAAGGGAGCGUAGACGGAUGGACAAGUCUGAUGUGAAAGGCUGGGGCUCAACCCCGGGACUGCAUUGGAAACUGCCCGUCUUGAGUGCCGGAGAGGUAAGCGGAAUUCCUAGUGUAGCGGUGAAAUGCGUAGAUAUUAGGAGGAACACCAGUGGCGAAGGCGGCUUACUGGACGGUAACUGACGUUGAGGCUCGAAAGCGUGGGGAGCAAACAGGAUUAGAAACCCCGGUGGCUGACUGACU
rnacentral:rRNA from 1 species